UCCUGAAGCUGAAGGCCUCUGAGUUGCGUGUUCUGGUUCCUGCAGUCCUCCUUAGCGACUGGCUCGAAAGUGAUGCCUCUCUACACGUCCUCGUUUGCAACGCGAGCUUCCCUCAUGAGCAGCCUAAGUAACGGCCGCAUGUCGUGAGGUCCCGCCUUUGUCUGAAUCGUGUUAACACGUGUAAACACACUGUAGGCAACUGAUGCAGUGAUCAUGCCGACGCGAU
rnacentral:lncRNA from 1 species